rnacentral:piRNA from 1 species
UGUUGGAUGAAUAAACAGCUAAGUGAGUGC